rnacentral:lncRNA from 1 species
CAGGAAUUUAAUAGCUGAGUUCACGUCCUGCCAACAAAACUUAGAAGGAAUCAACAAACUUCAAGUUCAGGCGCAUAUGUGCAAAAGCCAAGCACUUUGCUAGGUACUGCUCAUUCAAUGGAGAGCGAGAUUUCUAAAGGAUUACAGAAGUUAACAAUAAAACAACUGAGUGCAAGUGAGAAGUGCAGCCCUAACACGGUACCCUGUGGCCUAGCGAGAAGAUCGCAGAUGACAUGGGAGGCCUUCAUCUUCUGCAUCUGUCCGACCUUUUCAGCUCCUCUUCUGG